GAUUAACGCUGGCGGCGUGCAUAACACAUGCAAGUCGAACGAUGAAACUUUAAUGACCCCUUCGGGGAGAAUUAAAGCGGAUUAGUGGCGAACGGGUGAGUAACGCGUGAGUAACCUGCCUUACACAAGGGGAUAGCCUUUGGAAACGAAGAAUAAUACCCUAUAAAACCAUAAAAGCACAUGCAAUUAUGGUCAAAGUGAUAGCGGUGUAAGAUGGACUUGCGUCUGAUUAGCUAGUUGGUGAGAUAAAAGCCCACCAAGGCAACGAUCAGUAGCCGGCUUGAGAGAGUGUACGGCCACAUUGGGACUGAGACACGGCCCAGACUCCUACGGGAGGCAGCAGUGGGGAAUUUUGCACAAUGGGGGAAACCCUGAUGCAGCGACGCCGCGUGAUUGAGAAGGCCUUCGGGUUGUAAAAAUCUUUUGUAUAGGAAGAAAAUGACAGUACUAUACGAAUAAGGUCCGGCUAAUUACGUG
rnacentral:rRNA from 1 species